UCCGGCAGCCAUAUCACCCUGCAGCCCAAGACUGGUUGCCCACUGAAGCUAAGCAGGGCUGAGCCUGGUCAGCACCUGGAUGGGAGACCUCUUGGGAAAACUAGGUUGCUGCUGGAA
rnacentral:rRNA from 1 species